CAUUGUGCUCUACCAAACUCACAAAUUGAAAUCUUUAUAUAUUUUUUAUAUCUUUAACACGAAAACUGAGGUUGCUUUACAAAUCUUACAAAAAAACAUAAAUAUUCGCAUAACAAGAAGCCGAACUACUUUAAUUUAAGAAGAAAAUGAACUACUGAAAAGGUGAUAAUGUAUCAAAAGCUAAAGAUACCAAACAGAUUUGAAGAAGAAAAGCUUUCCACUCCUAAAACGUCGAAGAUAGUCGCCGUAUCUGAGCAGGAAAAAUAGGUUUCUUCUCCUCCCUCACCAUAACCUCAACAAUGGCCACAGUAGCCUUGGCCGCCACAACGCCCGCCGGCGAAACGACCACCAACAUUAAGACCACGACCACGUCCGAUGAAGAAACGAAGUAAACGGUCAUCGCUAUACUGACCACCACCAUUGAAGAAACGACCAAAACGGUCAUCGGUCUCCUGACCAGGACCACCGGAAACACGACCAAAACGGUCAAAGGUCUCCUGACCACGACCAGGACCAAAUAAAAACCGAUCAUAACGCUCCUGACCAGGACCAUCUGAAAAACGACCAAAAUGGUCAUUACUAUACCUUUGAUCAGAUUCCUGGCCAAAAGAGGAUUCAUCGAUAGACAUGUUAUCUGCCUCGGCUUUUUCACUAAUCGAUGAUAUCAACAAAUCCAUCCUUUCUUCCAUCUUUUGAAGACGACAAUCCAUAUUUUCUUGGAUCGUCUUCAGACGAUCAGACAAUCCUUGCAAUAUCUCCAUCACAUCAGAUAUUUUCUUCUCAUCCAUGUCUUUCUUAUGUUUCUCCAAAUCAUCUUUCUGCUCUCUACGAACUUCCUCUAGAUGCGUUGUUGCCUCGAUCACAGUAGGAUCUGCUUCAGCAGGGGUGACCGACUUAUUGUCCAUGGAGGAUAUAUAUGAGACUAACGAGUUAAAAAUGAGAAAUGGAGAACGGU
rnacentral:lncRNA from 1 species